rnacentral:misc_RNA from 1 species
CGAAGGGACUUUGCCGGAAAGUCCAUUCCCGUUCAAGCCCAAGUACUCUAAACUCUGAAUCUCCGAGUAUGACUCUGGUAUAGAGCCAGAAAAAUAGUUCCCACCGAGAUGAAGAUGCUUGAGAUUCUUCAGGUGCACAAGCUCCACUGGCAAUGGACCCGAGAAAUUAUUGUUGUAACAGUCAAGGAUCUCAAGCUGAGUCAUGCCAAGAGUGAUCUCUCCAGGGAAAUUGCCAACGAAGGCGUUAUUGGAAAUGUUGAAAAUUUUAAGAGACGUGAGGUCUGCCAUUUCCAAAGGGAGCCUUCCGGUGAGAUUAUGUGAAGAGAGGGUGAGGUUGACGAGCUUGUUCAAUAGCCCAAUUUCUGGAGGAAUAUAACCGGUGAGAAGACAAUGAGACGAGAAGUUAAGAGAAACCACCAGUGAUUCCUCAUCGCAAGUAACUCCAGAGAAGGAGCAGUGGACAGAGGAAGACAGCGAGAGUUUCCAGUCGUCCAGGCCACUGCCAUGUGGUCCGAGCAUGGAGGAUUUCAGCUUCAACAGUAUCUCUAAAUCACUAUAGCCAGAACAAGCAGAUGCCAGCAGAAGAACAAGAAGAACAGCGAGUGAAAUUCUCAUUUCCAUCCUCUCAAUGCCCUCCUUCUUUCAGAUGAUAAUUGAUAAAAUGGAAGGUUGAGUUAUUUCUGUGCUUGCUGUUCAAUCAAGCAGGGAGAUGCAAGCUAUAUUGAGUAGCUUCUUGAAAAACGAAUCAAAGACUCGCAGUAUCUAACUAGAGCGAAUCAACAAAAAGCGAAGAAAAGAAGCGAAGUGCAUGAGGUUUUGUGUCCGC